AUGAGUGGUUAAUCUGGCCUCAAUGAGUCGUUUAAACCUUGAACUCCUGUGAAAUCUAGAUAAUUUGCCUUUGGGUGAGAGUCCAAAAAGUGGCAAUGGCAGUACUAACAAAAAGAUACAAAAUGCUCUUAUCAUGGCUCAACUGGAGAGGCCCUCCAUGUAUUCUCAACUCUGAGGGCCCAAAUAUCGAUUUUCGUGGUUUCUAAACUUGAUCUUGGAUUAAUCCAUGUCCUCAAGUGGAUGAAGAUUUUAAAGUACAUCACUGAAGAUGAAGAGCUGCGAUGCAUUCCUGCCAUAAUCAUGGUGGUCGACAAGGAGGGAGAUCGAUGUCCAUGGUUGCUGACUGCUUGAGAAAUGGAGCAGUGGACUCAUCUCAUGAUGCCUUUAGGCAUGAAUAAAUUAUUGAAACUGGCGGACUCAUGUGGAGAGCAAGACGCAUGCUUGGACUUCCAGGCACGUCUACCCCUCUAGACAUGCAUGUGCCAUUUUGAGAUUGGAAGGUCUUCAUGCCAUGGUCGUAGGCCUAUAUGGCGCUGCCUAAUCAAUUACUUGCCAACUUUUUGCACGAUUUUCAACCACCUUUCUUCACGUUAGAGAAGACGCCAUUCAUCAUUUGAGAAUGGAAGGUUUUAUUAGACAGUUUGAAAUAUUGCAGGCAUAACCCUUUGGAAUUUAGAUGUAUUCUUGAAAAUAUUAUUAAGUUUAAAUUUUUCCUAAUAAGAAAAAAUAAUCAUGAAACAUAUAUAAAGAUAAAUGUGUUGUUGUUUUUCUUAUAAGUUUAAUGCACCAUAGCUUUAUAUUAUGGAGAUA